rnacentral:rRNA from 1 species
UACAGAGGUCCCAAGCGUUGUUCGGAUUCACUGGGCGUAAAGGGUGCGUAGGCGGUCGGGUAAGUCUGAUGUGAAAUCUCACAGCUUAACUGUGAAACUGCAUUGGAUACUAUUCGGCUUGAGGUCUGGAGGGGGGACUGGAAUACUUGGUGUAGCAGUGAAAUGCGUAGAUAUCAAGUGGAACACCAGUGGCGAAGGCGAGUCCCUGGACAACUCCUGACACUGGGGCACGAAAGCUAGGGGAGCAAACAGG